rnacentral:rRNA from 1 species
GAUGAACGCUGGCGGCGUGCCUAAUACAUGCAAGUCGAGCGAACAGACCAGGAGCUUUCUCCCCUGACGUUGUCGCCGGACGGGAGCGUCACACGUGGAUAACCUACCUAUACGACUGGGAUAACUACAGGAAACAGGAUCUACUACCGGAUAAUAUAUUGAACUGCAUUGUUCCAUCGUUAAAUUCGCUUCUGCUGUGACUUAUAGAUUAAUCCGCGCCGCAUUAGCUAGUGGGGAAGGUAACGGCUUACCAAGGCAAGGAUGGGUACCCGACCUGAAAGGGUGAUCGGCCACACUGGAACUGAGACACGGUCGAGACUCCUAGGGGAGGCAGCAGUAGGGAAUCUUCCGCAAGGGGCGAAAGCCUGACGGAGCAAAGCCGCGUGAGUGAUGAAGGUGUUCGGAUCGGAAAGCUCUGUUAUUAGUGAAGAACAAAUGUGUAAGUAACUAGGCACAUCUUGACGGUACCGAAUGAGAAAGCCACGGCUAACUACGUG